CCAAACAGCUAGCUCAACCAUUAAAACUUUAAAUUACAUAAUUAACAAAUUUUACUUAACCCAACAAUUAGUAAUCAAAUCAUUUUCCUGCCUUAGUAUGGGCGACAGAAAAGGCACCAGAAGCAAUAGAACCAGUACCGCAAGGGAAAGCUGAAAGAGAAAUGAAAUAAACCAUUUAAGCCCAAAAAAGCAGAGAUUUACCCUCGUACCUUUUGCAUCAUGAUUUAGUUAGAACUUUUGAGCAAAGAGAAACUAUAGUUCUUAACCCCGAAACCAAGUGAGCUACCCCGAGACAGCCUAUAUUAGGGCCAACCCGUCUCUGUGGCAAAAGAGUGGGAAGAUCUCCGGGUAGGGGUGACAGACCUAUCGAACUUGGUGAUAGCUGGUUGCCUAAGAAAUGGAUAUAAGUUCAGCCUUGUACUCCCCCACCCACAUGCACUACUGCCCUAUGGAAUGGAGAAAAUUACAAGAGUUAGUCAAAGGGGGUACAGCCCCUUUGAACCAGGACACAACCUGACCCAGGAGGUUAAGAGUCACACUCAAUAAGAUAUACAGCUUUAGUGGGCUUAAAAGCAGCCACCUACUUAGAAAGCGUUAAAGCUCAAGCAAACCCAACAAUCUAUUAUCCUGAUAAACAAACCCUACACCCCUAUUAAUAUUAGGCCUUUCCAUGCCCCCAUGGAAGAGACACUGCUAAAAUGAGUAACAAGAAGGCAAACCCUUCUCCAUGCCCACGUAUAAAUUAGAUCGGACCUACCACUAAUAAUUAACGAACCCAAUAAAAGAGGGAAAAGUGAUCAUUCAAUGAAACCAAGAAAACCCCACAACAAAAAUAUCGUUAACCCCACACCGGAGGGCUUCAAGGAAAGAUUAAAAGAAAAGGAAGGAACUCGGCAAACACAAGCCUCGCCUGUUUACCAAAAACAUCGCCUCCUGCAAAAAUCAACGUAUAAGAGGUCCUACCUGCCCAGUGACUAAGUUAAACGGCCGCGGUAUUUUGACCGUGCAAAGGUAGCGCAAUCACUUGUCUUUUAAAUAAAGACCUGUAUGAAUGGUGAAACGAGGGCUUAACUGUCUCCCUUUUCUAAUCAGUGAAAUUGAUCUGCCCGUGCAGAAGCGGGUAUAAAUAUACAAGACGAGAAGACCCUAUGGAGCUUUAGACAUAAAGCCAUCUAUGUUAAAAAUCCCUUAUAAAAGGAGCAAAACAAAAUAGUAACUGGCCAACGUCUUCGGUUGGGGCGACCACGGGGAAAAGCAAAUCCCCCACGUGGAACGGGAAAACCUCCUAAAACCACGAGGUACACCUCUAAGUCACAGUAUUUCUGACCAAAGGAUCCGGCACUUAGCCGAUCAACGAACCAAGUUACCCUAGGGAUAACAGCGCAAUCCCCUUCGAGAGUCCUUAUCGACAAGGGGGUUUACGACCUCGAUGUUGGAUCAGGACAUCCUAAUGGUGCAGCCGCUAUUAAGGGUUCGUUUGUUCAACGAUUAAAGUCCUACGUGAUCUGAGUUCAGACCGGAGUAAUCCAGGUCAGUUUCUAUCUGUAAAGUUACUUCUCCUAGUACGAAAGGACCGGAGACAUAAGGCCCCUAUCUCCAAUACGCCUUACUUCUACUUAAUGAUAUCAACUUAAUUAAAUAAAGAAGAACAUAAAAUACCCAAAGACAUUUGGAG
rnacentral:rRNA from 1 species